GAUGAACGCUGGCGGCGUGCCUAAUACAUGCAAGUCGAGCGAACGGACGAGAAGCUUGCUUCUCUGAUGUUAGCGGCGGACGGGUGAGUAACACGUGGAUAACCUACCUAUAAGACUUGGAUAACUUCGGGAAACCGGAGCUAAUACCGGAUAAUAUUUUGAACCGCAUGGUUCAAAAGUGAAAGACGGUCUUGCUGUCACUUAUAUAUGGAUCCGCGCUGCAUUAGCUAGUUGGUAAGGUAACGGCUUACCAAGGCAACGAUGCAUAGCCGACCUGAGAGGGUGAUCGGCCACACGGGAACUGAGACACGGUCCAGACUCCUACGGGAGGCAGCAGUAGGGAAUCUUCCGCAAUGGGCGAAAGCCUGACGGAGCAACGCCGCGUGAGUGAUGAAGGUCUUCGGAUCGUAAAACUCUGUUAUUAGGGAAGAACAUAUGUGUAAGUAACUGUGCACAUCUUGACGGUACCUAAUCAGAAAGCCACGGCUAACUACGUG
rnacentral:rRNA from 1 species